UUGAACGCUGGCGGAAUGCUUUACACAUGCAAGUCGAGCGGCAGCGCGGGGGCAACCCUGGCGGCGAGCGGCGAACGGGUGAGUAACAUAUCGGAACGUACCCUAUCGUGGGGGAUAACACAUCGAAAGAUGUGCUAAUACCGCAUACGACCUGAGGGUGAAAGCAGGGGAUCGCAAGACCUUGCGCGACAGGAGCGGCCGAUAUCGGAUUAGCUAGUUGGUGAGGUAAAGGCUCACCAAGGCGACGAUCCGUAGCUGGUCUGAGAGGACGACCAGCCACACUGGAACUGAGACACGGUCCAGACUCCUACGGGAGGCAGCAGUGGGGAAUUUUGGACAAUGGGCGAAAGCCUGAUCCAGCCAUUCCGCGUGAGUGAAGAAGGCCUUCGGGUUGUAAAGCUCUUUCGGCAGGAACGAAAUGGUCACGGUUAAUAACCGUGACUUCUGACGGUACCUGAAGAAGAAGCACCGGCUAACUACGU
rnacentral:rRNA from 1 species